CACGGGAGGAGCCAGGAUUCCAGCAGGGCAAUCUCAGGAGAGAUCAUGCUGCCACCUCUAGUUGCUUCUACUUCAGUGCCAAGCCAAACAAACCCUUACAAGAAAAAAUCUUCUCAGAAGGUGAACUAUGAUCAUUUGGAGGCAUUAUGCAGUAUCAAUGGGCUACAAAAUAGCAUCCAGGCUCUGCCACCGUGUUACACAGGAUACUGGACAAGAUGGAUCUAUUGUCUGGCCCAGUGAAUGGCAGUUCUUAUGGUACCUAAACUGGGUCACUUACACUACACAAUGUAAAGCUACCUCUAAACAUACUUAUAGAUUUUAAGCUCUUUAGAACUCUUUAAGCUCUUUAGGACAAAUUUGCAAAUGAUGUUGGGACAACACAAGCAACAUUUUUUGUACAUUUUUCUAGCUUUACUAAUUAUAAAUCCUGCACAUCAUGUAUAUGCAAACUGGUCUUGAUGAAGACUACCUUGCAUAUGAAAGUGUAUCUAAUUUUAUCCCAGCCAUGCAGUUGGCCCAAUAAAUGAUAACACUCAAAAAAUCCUUGGCUCUUGAAUUGUACUGUCAGUCUAUUUGUCCUGUAUCAUGUAUUUCAGUUGAAGAUGUAGUAAAACUGUGCCAACACUUUUGUAAAAUUCUGAUUUACA